UGUGAAGUUGUACGGAAAAAUUUCUAUGUGCUACGGAGUUGCAGUAGUUGUCUUAUCGUUGGCUUCAUUGAGUUGGUGCUCACGAUUGCCUGGCGACGGACUUCCAGGUCAUUGUGGCAACCCUACUGAUGUAGAAGCAUCCAUGACGCCUGCAAAAUGGUGUCAGUGCAUGGACAAAGAUCCGGGGUGGACUUAUGAAUGCUGCAAUGAAAAUAUUCAUCCGUACUCCACAAGUGGCUGUUUUGACGACAUAGACGUGGACAGACAAAUGUGCAAGAAUUAUAUUUCACAGCAAAAAGCGUGCGCUGAA